UCCUUGUGGCUUUGUGGUUAGAGCAUCUGCCUCGGAUGCGGGAAGUCAUGGGUUCGAUGCCCGGUCGACUCAU